UAUUCGAAGAGUUUGAUUCUGGCUCAGAACGAACGCUGGCGGCGUGGAUAAGACAUGCAAGUCGAACGGAGAGUUUUUGAAGCUUGCUUUAAAAGCUCUUAGUGGCGAACGGGUGAGUAACACGUGAGUUACCUGCCCCGAAGUGGGAGAUAGCCCGGAGAAAUCCGGAUUAAUACCCCAUGUGAUCGAAAGAUUAAAGGCGGCGUAAGCUGUCGCUUCGGGAUGGGCUCGCGGCCUAUCAGCUUGUUGG
rnacentral:rRNA from 1 species